GGUGUGACUGCGUACCUUUUGUAUAAUGGGUCAGCGACUUAUAUUCUGUAGCAAGGUUAACCGUAUAGGGGAGCCGCAGGGAAACCGAGUCUUAACUGGGCGUUAAGUUGCAGGGUAUAGACCCGAAACCCGGUGAUCUAGCCAUGGGCAGGUUGAAGGUUGGGUAACACUAACUGGAGGACCGAACCGACUAAUGUUGAAAAAUUAGCGGAUGACUUGUGGCUGGGGGUGAAAGGCCAAUCAAACCGGGAGAUAGCUGGUUCUCCCCGAAAGCUAUUUAGGUAGCGCCUCGUGAACUCAUCUUCGGGGGUAGAGCACUGUUUCGGCUAGGGGGUCAUCCCGACUUACCAACCCGAUGCAAACUACGAAUACCGAAGAAUGUUAUCACGGGAGACACACGGCGGGUGCUAACGUCCGUCGUGAAGAGGGAAACAACCCAGACCGCCAGCUAAGGUCCCAAAGUCAUGGUUAAGUGGGAAACGAUGUGGGAAGGCACAGACAGCCAGGAUGUUGGCUUAGAAGCAGCCAUCAUUUAAAGAAAGCGUAAUAGCUCACUGGUCGAGUCGGCCUGCGCGGAAGAUGUAACGGGGCUAAACCAUGCACCGAAGCUGCGGCAGCGACNNNNNCCUGUGAGGGUUGCUGGAGGUAUCAGAAGUGCGAAUGCUGACAUAAGUAACGAUAAAGCGGGUGAAAAGCCCGCUCGCCGGAAGACCAAGGGUUCCUGUCCAACGUUAAUCGGGGCAGGGUGAGUCGACCCCUAAGGCGAGGCCGAAAGGCGUAGUCGAUGGGAAACAGGUUAAUAUUCCUGUACUUGGUGUUACUGCGAAGGGGGGACGGAGAAGGCUAUGUUAGCCGGGCGACGGUUGUCCCGGUUUAAGCAUGUAGGCUGGUUAUCCAGGCAAAUCCGGAUAAUCAAGGCUGAGGUGUGAUGACGAGGCACUACGGUGCUGAAGUAACAAAUGCCCUGCUUCCAGGAAAAGCCUCUAAGCAUCAGGUAACAUCAAAUCGUACCCCAAACCGACACAGGUGGUCAGGUAGAGAAUACCAAGGCGCUUGAGAGAACUCGGGUGAAGGAACUAGGCAAAAUGGUGCCGUAACUUCGGGAGAAGGCACGCUGGUGUGUAGGUGAAGUCCCUGCGGAUGGAGCUGAGACCAGUCGAAGAUACCAGCUGGCUGCAACUGUUUAUUAAAAACACAGCACUGUGCAAACACGAAAGUGGACGUAUACGGUGUGACGCCUGCCCGGUGCCGGAAGGUUAAUUGAUGGGGUUAUCCGUAAGGAGAAGCUCUUGAUCGAAGCCCCGGUAAACGGCGGCCGUAACUAUAACGGUCCUAAGGUAGCGAAAUUCCUUGUCGGGUAAGUUCCGACCUGCACGAAUGGCGUAAUGAUGGCCAGGCUGUCUCCACCCGAGACUCAGUGAAAUUGAACUCGCUGUGAAGAUGCAGUGUACCCGCGGCAAGACGGAAAGACCCCGUGAACCUUUACUAUAGCUUGACACUGAACAUUGAGCCUUGAUGUGUAGGAUAGGUGGGAGGCUUUGAAGCGUGGACGCCAGUCUGCGUGGAGCCAACCUUGAAAUACCACCCUUUAAUGUUUGAUGUUCUAACGUUGGCCCCUUANCGGGGUUGCGGACAGUGUCUGGUGGGUAGUUUGACUGGGGCGGUCUCCUCCCAAAGCGUAACGGAGGAGCACGAAGGUUAGCUAAUCCUGGUCGGACAUCAGGAGGUUAGUGCAAUGGCAUAAGCUAGCUUGACUGCGAGCGUGACGGCGCGAGCAGGUGCGAAAGCAGGUCAUAGUGAUCCGGUGGUUCUGAAUGGAAGGGCCAUCGCUCAACGGAUAAAAGGUACUCCGGGGAUAACAGGCUGAUACCGCCCAAGAGUUCAUAUCGACGGCGGUGUUUGGCACCUCGAUGUCGGCUCAUCACAUCCUGGGGCUGAAGUAGGUCCCAAGGGUAUGGCUGUUCGCCAUUUAAAGUGGUACGCGAGCUGGGUUUAGAACGUCGUGAGACAGUUCGGUCCCUAUCUGCCGUGGGCGCUGGAGAAUUGAGGGGGGCUGCUCCUAGUACGAGAGGACCGGAGUGGACGCAUCACUGGUGUUCGGGUUGUCAUGCCAAUGGCACUGCCCGGUAGCUAAAUGCGGAAGAGAUAAGUGCUGAAAGCAUCUAAGCACGAAACUUGCCCCGAGAUGAGUUCUCCCUGAGACUUUAAGUCUCCUGAAGGAACGUUGAAGACGACGACGUUGAUAGGCCGGGUGUGUAAGCGCAGCGAUGCGUUGAGCUAACCGGUACUAAUGAACCGUGAGGCUUAACCUU
rnacentral:rRNA from 2 species